GUGAAAGAUUUGUCUGCUAGGAAAUUUUCUUGUUUUGUUUCUUUUGAAGUGCCGGAUAUCUAAUUAAUUAAAACUGCUCAUUUAUUGUUCUUACGGAGGCGUGAAACUCUAUCAUAGACCCAUUUUUUUAGUAAUGCUGCGCAUUUCUUUAGCAGUUUCUGUAGAAGACAUUAGAGUGAUUUCCUCUCCUCCUGUCCCUUAUAUUUUACCAUUGAAAACGGAUCAAAUACCAACAGUUUUCAAUGAACAAAAGUGACACAUAUGCCGAGACUCUGUACCAGAUUAAAAGACGCUACGAAGAUGCUUCUCUAAAUAUUUUUAAGGAAAGAGAAAACAGAGCUAAGCCUAUUGGUUAUUUCAGUUCUAAAGAGGGAAAUAAGAGCUUUGCUUACACAUGUCAGGGCAAUACAGCGUCUGUUGUACAAAGAGUUGGCAAUGAUGUUGUAAAAGCUGAUGAGAAAGCUAUUGCGAGUCAGAUUUGCACGAUUAUGUAAUUUAUAUUUGACAAUUAGUACAACAAACUUUUAAGUAUAUAUUUUUUUACUGUGACUCAUAUUCUUAUAUAUAUAUUAACAUUUGAAUGUUGCUUUCAUUUUGUUAAUAUUUUGCAAUUGUUUAGUGAAUAUUUAAUACUAAGACUUGCUCAAUUUUAUUAAACAUGUUUUUAUCAAAUUAAUUCUGCAUGAAAUCUGAUUACCAAUACUAUACUGAAUAAAUUCUUUUUCACAGUCAA